rnacentral:tRNA from 1 species
GGUUAUGGCUUAGUGGUAGAGUACUUGCCUAGCAUGUGUGAGGCACUGAGUUCUAUCCUCAGCACCA